rnacentral:lncRNA from 1 species
AUGCUCCAGGCGUGCAGAUGCAGUCUCGUGGUCUCACCUGGCCGGCCGCAGGUGUGCAGGUGUCUGUGCAGGUGCGCCGUGCACCCGCUGGAGCCCCCAGGGGCUCCUGUUCUCUCUGACUCAGCCAAGCCAGACUUGGGUGUGGGUGGUCAGCGAGGGAGGGAGCAUCCCACCACCUUCUCAGGGCAGCCCUUGACCUCCGGACACCCUUCCUCCUUCCACUCUGCGUCUCCUCCCCGUCCACCCGCAAUGCUGCAGCUGGGGCUAACCUUGCUCUCUUGUGGGGGCACCUCUGCCAUGUCUUCCUGUGGUCAGGCCACAGCGGAUGGUGGUUCAGGCUACACACAAGCCCCACACCCCGGCUGGGGGCUGUGUCUGCCGGGAGGGGGCGCUCCAUUUCUAGUUUGCACAGAGGUAGUUGCUCCCCUGGCAGUGAGGAGGGACUUCUCUCCCCUGUCAGUCCCUAUAGGGGUGAAAAAGCCAGAUUGGGGUGGGCACCAGGGGAGCAAGUGAAAGCCUGGCUCCCUCCCCGCUCCGCGUUGUCCCCUCCCCCAGGGCUGUGCCACAUUCUGCUUUGUCCGGAGGAAGUCAGCAGAAUCUUUCUGAGGCUCGGAUAGGGCAGUGUUCCCCUAGACCCCUUCUUCCCAAGUUCCCGAACCAAAGACAGCCUGCACCCAAUUUUUAUUUGGGCGGCCUGCUGGCAAGAUCCCAGAACCCUGAGCCUCUGUCUCCUCCUCCUCCUCAAUCCUCUGUUGUCCAGGGUCAAUUCAGUGCUUCCAUUGGGGGAUCGCGCCCUCCCCCUGACUCACCCCCGCUUAGGGGGUUGAGUCUAGAGGAGUAUGUGGCGGGUGACCAGGGGACAGGAUGGCAGCCUGGGUUGGAGGCUGUCCCAGUUCAGGGGCCCCCGGCAGAGGCUGGGGGGGGGCAGGGACUCUGGCCUUGGGACUGGCAGCUUCCAGUAGAUGUCACAGUCCCCACCCCCCAGGGGACAUGGGCCUCCUCCUGCCUCACUUGGAGGAGCUGUUCAUGCAGUUUGCAGGUUUGGGGGAGGGGGUGGCCCUUGUGUGGGGUGAGGCCCCGCUGGAGCAGAGCACUGCUUGCCUCUCUCAGCCCUUCAUGGCCUCUGGGAGGGCUGAGCCCUGGGAGCAGAGGCGGCCUGGGGGCCGGGCUGCAGGGGGUUAGGACCCUCCCACCCAGGACCCAGAACCGAGACCUCUAUGAGGGGUUGGGAGCAGCCUUGAAGGCCUCCUCCAGCCCCGAGCAUCCUAGCGGGGCUAGGGUGAGGGGGCAAGGUGGGCAUGACCUGCCUCCCCACUCUCCUGCCACCCUAGAAGGCCAGUACUCACGGGGGGGGGUUCGAAAAAGCUGGACCACCUGUCUUUACUUCCCGCAGCCCCCCACCUGCUUUGAAUGUAGAGAGACCGGUUGGUACUUUUCUUUUGCUGGGGGGUGGGGCCAGGAGAAUGUUCUCCGCCCCUGGCACAGCCGCUUGUAAUGCUGCCCCUCGAGGACCGGGCCCCUCGAGGACCACCCGCCGCUCCUAGGAUGGUGGCCCCAGGGCCAGCCUCCUUCUCCGCUCCCGGCCUGGGGGAAGGCGCUUCGCUUGGUUUAGCUUUUGCUUCAUAACCGGCCAGCCUGGCCUCCAGGUCUCAGCACAAGAACGCUGCCUUUGCACAGAAUGAGCAUCAAGCUUUGUUCUGA